UAAGGAAUAUUGGUCAAUGGACGCAAGUCUGAACCAGCCAUGCCGCGUGAAGGAAGACGGCCCUACGGGUUGUAAACUUCUUUUGUACAGGAAAAAACCACCGGUCGUGAAUCGGUGCUGAUGGUACUGUAAGAAUAAGGAUCGGCUAACUCCGUGCCAGCAGCCGCGGUAAUACGGAGGAUCCAAGCGUUAUCCGGAUUCAUUGGGUUUAAAGGGUGCGCAGGCGGAAUGAUAAGUCAGUGGUGAAAUCCUACGGCUCAACUGUAGAACUGCCAUUGAUACUGUCGUUCUUGAGUACACUUGGAGUGGGCGGAAUGUGUCAUGUAGCGGUGAAAUGCUUAGAUAUGACACAGAACACCGAUCGCGAAGGCAGCUCACUAAAUUGUAACUGACGCUCAUGCACGAAAGCGUGGGGAUCAAACA
rnacentral:rRNA from 1 species